CCUACGGGUGGCAGCAGUGGGGAAUAUUGCGCAAUGGGCGAAAGCCUGACGCAGCGACGCCGCGUGAGGGAUGAAGGUCUUCGGAUCGUAAACCUCUGUCAGCAGGGAAGAACGGUCACUGUGCUAAUCAGCAGUGAAUUGACUGUACCUAUAAAGGAAGCACCGGCUAACUCCGUGCCAGCAGCCGCGGUAAUACGGGGGGUGCAAGCGUUGUCCGGAAUCAUUGGGCGUAAAGCGUUCGUAGGCGGUAUGUCAAGUCUGAUGUUAAAGCCCGGGGCUCAACUCCGGUUCGGCAUGGGAUACUGGCAAACUAGAAUGUGGUAGAGGUAAAGGGAAUUCCUGGUGGAGCGGUGAAAUGCGUAGAUAUCAGGAGGAACAUCGGUGGCGAAAGCGCUUUACUGGACCAUUAUUGACGCUGAGGAACGAAAGCCAGGGGAGUAAAUGGGAUUAGAUACCCCGGUAGUC
rnacentral:rRNA from 1 species